CUGGUUUACACUGAUUUCUCUUCUUGAAUUUCGACCUGUUUGUAGAAAACUUUCUUCAUCUCUUUCGUCAGCCGGAAAAUGCCGACUGCUCGGUUCUUAUAUUAUUUGUGCUUAUAGGUAGCUACGGGUAGUUUCUGGAAUUUGAGUCCAGGGUAUUAGUGUCUAUGUCUUUUGGCGCGUUCUGUUAUAUAUAGUCUUUUCUGUGCUUUAUCGUGCUUUUGCAGGUAUCUAUAUCUGAAGAUAUUUUAGUGUUUGAAGCCGAUCAAUGUUUGGAUGUUCUUUUUAUUAAGGAGGUGGCGUAGAGUGGUUUAUUUUAUUUAUUUUUUCGUAGCUAUUUAACAGUAAUUUUCUGCGAGAUAUAUUGUAUGGUUUGGUAGCUCCUAGCAUAUACAGGGCCAUGAAAACGCGCGCGCGAAUUUGCUGAUAUACUGAUUAAUGUAAAAGUCUUGUCAUAAGAUACUUCUAAGCAUCAAGUUUUAUUUAUGGGAUCUUCUUGAAAUGUAUUGACUGCAAAUGGUGUUUAAUCAUGAGAUCGUUGGAGACUGGAGGCAACAGAAUGUUGGAAUUAGACAUAGAUAUUGGCUUAGCAAAGUCAGAGGUUUGCUGGGAUUCAUUUGACUCGCACUGAUUAAUAUACACGGCUGAAAUAGAGUGCAUGUAUUCAUAUUUGGGUUAUUGAAAUCACUAGAUAUUUCCUGAAUGGGAGGAGUUUGUUCUAGGAAGCAAGAGCAGGACGUUGAAGAUAGUCCUCAAGAAGGGCUUUCACGGAAAAAAUAUUGCAAAAGUGGGAGUUUGAAAUGGCUCACAUCGUCAUUUUCUAAUCCUAGGAUGAAUUUCCACUUACAAAAUGGAGAAUGUCCAUCACUGUUGGACUUGUGCAUCCACAGAAUAAGUCAGGAUAUUGAUAGAUAUAGCUCGAUGUCUAUGCUCCCACGGGAUAUA